GUGUUAUAUGAAAGGAGACAAGGUUAGCACUCCCCUUGACAAAGAUGGACGAGGCUCUCAGGCCUGACAACAUGCAUACAGUUAAGACAUUGCCAACUACUUUGUGGCAUCUAACCACUGUUUAGG
ensembl:snRNA